GUCUAGUUUGCCCACUGAAUUUAAUUUUUAAUGGCCGCAGUAUUUUGACUGUGCAAAGGUAGCAUAAUCAUUAGUUUUUUAAUUAAAAGCUUGUAUGAAAGGCUGGACGAGGUAGAAUCUGUCUCUAUUUAAAUUAUAAUAGAAUUUAAUUUUUAAGUUAAAAAGCUUAAAUGUUAUUAAAAGACGAGAAGACCCUAUAGAUCUUUAUAAUUUAUUAAAUGAAAUUAAUUUAGAAUUAUUUAUUUUUUAUUUUAAUAAAUUAUUUUAUUGGGGUAAUAGAAAGAUUGAGUUAAUUCUUUUUUGUAAUAAACAUUGAUUUAUGAAUAUUAAAUGAUCCAGUUUUACUGAUUAUAAGAUUAAGUUACCUUAGGGAUAACAGCGUAAUUUUUUUAGAGAGUUCAUAUCGAUAAAAAAGUUUGCGACCUCGAUGUUGGAUUAAAGAUUAUUUUGGGUGUAGAAGCUCAUUAAUUUUGGUCUGUUCGACCAUUAAAUCUUUACAUGAUCUGAGUUCAGACCGGCGUAAGCCAGGUCGGUUUCUAUCUUUAAUAAAAUAAAAUAUUUUAGUACGAAAGGACCAAAUAUUUAAUAUAUUUAUAUUUAAUUUAUUGAAUAUUAUUAAAGUUUUUAUUAUUUUGGCAGAUUAGUGCAAUGAAUUUAGAAUUCAUUUAUGUAAUUUAUUUACAAAUAAUACUUGUUUUAUAUAGAUAUUAUUUUUUCUUUAGUAUGUAUAUUAUUAUUAAUUGUUUGUGUCUUAGUGGGGGUUGCUUUUUUAACUUUAUUGGAACGAAAGGUUUUAGGUUAUAUUCAAAUUCGUAAGGUCCUAAUAAAGUAGGAUUUGUAAG
rnacentral:rRNA from 1 species